GCAGGCAGCAGCAACCAGCUGUUCUUGACUGAUCUCAAAAAGCUAAGCAGGUUCACAGUUCUAGUUAGUACCUGAAUGGAAAAUCACCAGGAAAUUCCAGGGCUGUAGGCU
rnacentral:rRNA from 1 species